rnacentral:rRNA from 1 species
UAAGGAAUAUUGGACAAUGGUCGGAAGACUGAUCCAGCCAUGCCGCGUGAAGGACGAAGGCGCUCAGCGUUGUAAACUUCUUUUGGAUGGGGAUAAUAAUCCCGAUUUAUCGGGACUUGAAGGUACCAUCAGAAUAAGCACCGGCUAACUCCGUGCCAGCAGCCGCGGUAAUACGGAGGGUGCGAGCGUUAUCCGGAAUCACUGGGUUUAAAGGGUGCGUAGGCGGCGAGGUAAGUCAGUUGUGAAAUUCCCCGGCUCAACCGGCGGGACUGCGAUUGAUACUGCUUUGCUUGAAACAGGUUGAGGUAAGCGGAAUGUGGCAUGUAGCGGUGAAAUGCAUAGAUAUGCCAUAGAACACCGAUUGCGAAGGCAGCUUGCUGGGCCUGAUUUGACGCUGAGGCACGAAAGCGUGGGGAGCAAACAGGAUUAGAUACCCUGGUAGUCCACGCCCUAAACGAUGUUACUUGCUGUUCCUGUCUUGAACGGG